rnacentral:rRNA from 1 species
UACGUAGGAGGCAAGCGUUGUCCGGAAUUACUGGGCGUAAAGCGCGUGUAGGUGGUGGGACAAGUCUGCUGUGAAAGCGCCUGGCUUAACCGGGCGAGGUCGGCGGAAACUGUCCGACUAGAGGACGGUAGAGGGGGGUGGAAUUCCCGGAGUAGUGGUGAAAUGCGUAGAGAUCGGGAGGAACACCUGUGGCGAAGGCGGCCCCCUGGGCCGGCCCUGACACUGAGACGCGAAGGCGUGGGGAGCGAACGGG